CACAUCAAGUUGAAACACUAGUUCUCAUACAGUCACCAAAGUUAAGCAACAUUGAGCUUGAUCAGUACCUAGAUGGCUGACUGCUGAGGAACACCAGGUGCUGCAAG